GAUGAACGCUGGCGGCGUGCCUAAUACAUGCAAGUCGAGCGAACGGACGAGACGCUUGCUUUUCUGAUGUUAGCGGCGGACGGGAGUGUAACACGUGGAUAACCUACCUAUAAGACUGGGAUAACUUCGGGAAACCGGAGCUAAUACCGGAUAAUAUUUUGAACCGCAUGGUUGAAUAGUGAAAGACGGUCUUGCUGUCACUUAUAGAUGGAUCCGCGCUGCAUUAGCUAGUUGGUAGGGUAACGGCUUACCAAGGCAACGAUGCGUAGCCGACGUGAGAGGGUGGUAGGCCACAUGGGAGGUGGGCCGCGGUCCAGACGCCUACGGGAGGGAGCAGUAGGGUAUCGUACGCAAUGGGGGAAAGUCUGGCGGAGCAAGGCCGCGUGUGUUGUGGAGGCGCUCGGAUCGUGAAGCCGUGUUAUUGGGGGUGAACAGAUUUGUAAGGAGCUGAGCAGAGCGUGACGGUACCGGAUCAGGAAGCCACGGCUAACUACGUG
rnacentral:rRNA from 1 species